rnacentral:rRNA from 1 species
AUGAACGCUAGCGGGAGGCCUAACCCCUGCAAGCCGAGCGGUAGAGUCUCUUCGGAGACUUGAGAGCGGCGCACGGGUGCGGAACACGUGUGCAACCUGCCUUUAUCUGGGGGAUAGCCUUUCGAAGGGAAGAUUAAUACCCCAUAAUAUACUGGAUGGCAUCAUCUGGUAUUGAAAACUCCGGUGGAUAGAGAUGGGCACGCGCAAGAUUAGAUAGUUGGUGAGGUAACGGCUCACCAAGUCAGCGAUCUUUAGGGGGCCUGAGAGGGUGAUCCCCCACACUGGUACUGAGACACGGACCAGACUCCUACGGGAGGCAGCAGUGAGGAAUAUUGGACAAUGGGUGAGAGCCUGAUCCAGCCAUCCCGCGUGAAGGACGACGGCCCUAUGGGUUGUAAACUUCUUUUGUAUAGGGAUAAACCUAGAUACGUGUAUCUAGCUGAAGGUACUAUACGAAUAAGCACCGGCUAACUCCGUG